CUCCCCUCCGGCGGACGACACAGCGCGGGCGGCGGCUGAAGGCGGGAGACCCACCGGCCGCCCCCCACUCACCGCAGCCGCAGCAGAGAUGCAGCUUUCUUCAGUUCCCUUUCUAAGGCAGAAGAUAGACUAUGCCAGGGAAGAUCCUCUGUGUCUCAGACUCUACAGUAGCAAGAGAAAGGAGGGCUACUCUACCUACAUAUAUAAAGUCCUAAAGCAAACUCAUCAAGUCUCAGGGGUCUCCUGCUGGGUUGCCGAUGUCAUAAAUUCUCUGGAUAAACCACAGUUGUUUGGGAAAGCUGCAUUAGAAGCUGCCAGGUUGUCUCUCUACAACAAGAGACGCCUCAUUACCUGCAGAGAGGUCCAUGCUGCAAUGAAGUUAGUGCUUCUGCAUGAGCUCUCCAAGCAAGAUAGGUGUGAGACCAUCAAAGCUGUGACAAAGUCCACUGGAUGUAAAUGAACUCUUAUUAAAAUGUAAUGCUUUUAA